CGUUUUGAGGGAAGUCACUUCAAAAUGCAAUUCGCGUCAUCGAAAGUGAAGGUUUCGCGUGUGAGUGAAAAAUAUGUAAACAAACCGUUGCAUAUUUUCUCUGUAAUUAAUAUACUGAUUUCUCGAAAACUUGUACCGUGUUUAUCUUACAAUUAGUGGAAAUUGUUGAAAAAUAGUUUUUCUUAGCUGUUUCGAUGCUCCGAACCAAAUUUUAUUGUCAUUUAGUAGUGAAAAAAAGCCGUUGAAGUACACCCUCUGUCAAUCUACCUGGGAGAGAGAACGUGUGAAAUAUGGACGUCAAAAGCUGCGCAAAUUGCCCGGAGAACAUGUAAGUCGGACGAAAUUUGCUUGAAGCUGACUCCGAACAAUCUGCAAAAUUCAAAAGCCGUAUUGUUUGUGUCGUCCCCGGAUGUAAGCAGAGAUAUCGCCCCGGAAUUUCUUUCGCUUCGAAAACGGACAAAUCGCGGUAUCUAGACUGGAUCCAACGUCUACGGCUAAAGAUAGAACCUACAAAAACCUCCCGUAUUUGUAGCCUCCAUUUCACCGUGUCGAACUUCUACUCUCCAACAACAAGCCGUGCCACUGAUCGCUUAAUUCUUAGGCCAUCAGCAGUUCCCGACUUGAAUUUGCCACAACCUCCCAUCAGCAAAGCCAGGAAAAGACUAAUUGAGGGCCGUGCUGAACGUGCUGCAAACCGUGCCAAAGUUGGGGCAGCGAUGGACCAGAGACAUGAUACACCAAACCUUUCAGAUCUUGCCAUCGAUGCUGAAUGUGCAGAUCAUCCCGAAGUCUGUGUUCCUACAGUAGAGAAAGCAGUUCAGGUAGACACUACGGAUUUGGAUAAACUUAAAGUCAAGCGUAUCUCAGCAAUCUCCAUUGGAAGCGAUGACGAUCUUGUAUCAUGGACUGGACUUAAAUCAAGAGAAAUGCUCGAAUCUAUUGUCAAAGCAGUGACUCUCGUGAAGCAGUAUCGUCAAAAGCCUAAAUAUACAGUGAAGCUAGAAGAGGAAAUACCGGAUUCCUGCACAAUAGACAUGUUAAGAAUAUAUUUUUUUAAAUAAAGGCCUUUACUAAAGUGUUU